ensembl:lncRNA
CGUAACUCCCUUUUACCUCAGUCAGACGUAAGAAGACAUGUUGACAACCUAUAUGCGAUUUUCUUUUACGUUUCACAGACUCGAGGGUAGGCUAAAUGAUGACAAUUUAAAUUUAACGUGAUAACAGGAACGGUAUAAACACAGUACAUGAACUGUAUCGGCGAAGGGAGGGUCUGUUUUCCUUCGGUGUUGCUAUGACAACAGACAGUGCUCUGGAGAGCGCUGACACGCUCCAAAACAAAGUUGAUAACAUGCCAACAGACAUGUUUCAGUGCACUGCGUUCAACUCAUUAGAUAAACUCUAACGUCAACACAUCAACUGUUACUAAUUAAUAAAUUUCCGAAAAGUGUUUAGUAUCGUAAUGCGAAAGGCGCAGUCAGCAGUGUCGAGCGCCGCCGAUGAUGAUGAAGUGGUGCGGCUCCGCGCGCUCUGGAGAAGAUACGAGCAUCACUGCACGCGGACUAACAGCUGUCCCAGUGCAGUGCUCAGACAGGACAUCCUUCACCAAAUCGACAGACAGGAGCCUCUCAAAAAGAUAAUGCUGGGGCCUUCAGACACUGUUAUCCCCAGCCUUCAGCCUCUGUUAAUGGCUAUACGAGAUGAGCGUUACACACAUGCACAAGAAUUUCACAUCUGGAGUCUGUCUCUCAAGCAAAAAGAUAUAGUUGAGCUGUGUCUUCUUUUAGAGAAGAGGGGGAGGACAGUUUAUCCCUUGAAAUCACUGGAGCUACUUGAUUGCAAAAUAACUGAAGGGUCUCUGGAAAGACUGGGCAAUGCUGCAGGCAUCAGCUACCUCACCACUCUCUGCCUGGACUACACACGUUUGGAACCGGAAGGGUUGAAAGGUUUGCUGAGUGGAGGUCUGGGGGCCAGUCGAAUAUCCUCCCUGAGUUUGUGUUAUUGUGGUUUGGGUUCAUGGAGCGGAACACUGCUAGCUUCACUCCUCACCAACAGUUCCGUGAGGGAGCUCUGCCUCAAUGGCAAUGAGCUGCAGUGUGUGGGUGCCACCGAUCUGCUGAAACCUGUGGCUGAAAACAGCCAAAAACUGGCAGAGAUCCAAAACAGGACCACAUCCAUCACAGAUGAAACAGAGUUGAUCUCCCAAAGGAGCAAUACCAAAUCUUCCAGACAAAAGAAAGCAAAGAGCAAAGGGAAGAAGACAAAGAAGAAAAGAGAAAAAAACAAGAGGGAUCAUGGUGCCGCAGGAGGCCCGUGGCUAGAGAAACUGCACAUGUGUGAUAAUUCCAUUGAUGGCUCAGGAAAGGAGGAACUAAAUCAAUUCCUGGAGAUCCUUUGCAUUAUAGUUAAGUUCUCCAGUUGCCUGACCGAACUGGAUCUCAGUGACAAUCACAUUGGAGAAGAUGGCGCAAAAGUGUUUUUAGAGGCCCUGAGAGAAAGACAAGCAACUAAACUAUCUCCAAUAAAAAUCCAGGUUUCAACACGCAUCUCCACAGAAACAUUCAGGGCCAUUUUGAAAAGUGCAAAGGAGCUUAAAUCUGGGAAAAAGAGAAGAAAGACUAAGGUGCAGUAUAAGAUUAGAUUAUUAUAA